ACGGGAGGCAGCAGUGGGGAAUAUUGCACAAUGGGCGAAAGCCUGAUGCAGCAACGCCGCGUGAGUGAAGAAGUAUCUCGGUAUGUAAAGCUCUAUCAGCCGGGAAGAAAAUGACGGUACCUGACUAAGAAGCCCCGGCUAACUACGUGCCAGCAGCCGCGGUAAUACGUAGGGGGCAAGCGUUAUCCGGAUUUACUGGGUGUAAAGGGAGCGCAGACGGCACUGCAAGUCUGAAGUGAAAGCCCGGGGCUCAACCCCGGGACUGCUUUGGAAACUGUAGAGCUAGAGUGCUGGAGAGGCAAGCGGAAUUCCUAGUGUAGCGGUGAAAUGCGUAGAUAUUAGGAAGAACACCAGUGGCGAAGGCGGCUUGCUGGACAGUAACUGACGUUCAGGCUCGAAAGCGUGGGGAGCAAACAGGAUUAGAUACCCUGGUA
rnacentral:rRNA from 1 species